rnacentral:lncRNA from 1 species
AGGGCUGCCGUCCCCUCACAGCGGGGCUGACGCAGUGUGCCCAGGCCACCUGUGGGUUCCUGUCGUGCAAGAUGCAUGCUGCAGGGCGGGCUCCCUCUGUCCUGGCUCCAAGGCGCAGGCAGCCCUCAGAGAGGGACUGCCGCAUCUCCCUCCCCUCGGCCCUGCUAGAACACACACUCUCCACUCCCUCUGGGGCAAGGGCUUCUCUCUCCCAGGGCAGCCCACUGGCUCCUCUCUUACUAACAUCCAGACAGUUUAGGGUGGGAGCACGGAACCUUCCAGGUCCCUUCAUGGCCCUCCCAGAACCAAGAGUAGCUGGUGGCAGGCCGUCCUGCCACCCUCCUCGGGAGGGUGAACCACGUUACUGGCCUCCAUGCCCCACUUUCCAGUGUGCCUCUGUGUGGCAUCAGUUCUUAGAAACAGAUGCCCCGGCCCAUGACCCCAAGUCACCCUCAGACCUCACAGGCAAUUCUUUCGAGGCCUCUCCCCUAACUGAGGCAGAGUGCUCCCCCUACACACACACUCUGCUUUGGCUGCAAAUGGGGUAGAGGGGAGGCAAACAGCUCUCCCCAACAGGGAAAGGAGGAGAAAGGGACAGCCACUGCCCUUCUAACUGCCGCUCAGAAGACAGGCCCUUCUUCCUCCUGUAGCUCCCGAAGGCAAAGGAGAACGAUGCUACAGGAAGGCGCUGUCCAAGAGCCCAUGGGCACGUCACUGGCCAGGCACAGCUGGCCUCAAUCUGGGUUUCUGCUCCCUCCUCACUGCAGCGUCCAUCUGACCCUCAUGGGCACCACAGCCCUUGUUGAGGUCGCGACCUUUCCCACAGCCAUCAGCAACCUCUCUCCUCAUUUCUAGUUUAAUUUCAAGCUGAGAGAAUGAAUCCGACUGGUCCAGCUCAGCCUCUGGUGCCAGGCCACAAUCACCAGUCCAUCACCGCCUUAGCCAACAGGGUUGUGAGCAGGGUGUUCCCCGGACAGAGGCGAGGGCCCGCGGGUGAUGACUGACGUUUCCAGCACUCCUGCCGGAUUGUUCUCGGGUGUAAACGGGGUGGGAAAGGGUGGCUCCUCGUUCCAAGCCUGGUUCAUGGCAGCUGCUCCCUUCCCCCUCACUGCCACCUCUUUCAGCGGUGGGACGACCUUACAGUGGCCCCGCCCUCCCUGAACAGUAGCCCUAGCGCCCCGUCACCUCCCACCAGGGCCCCCUCACAGCCCACGCCGCUCAGCAGCACUUGCGACCUGAGCAGAGGCGGCCAGCGGCAGAGCUGGCGUGUGCAGGCAGGCGCGUUCUCUCACGCGGGAAGGAUGGAUGCGGCUUUCAGACAAGAAAAGAGGUGAACAGGAAGGAGAUGCGGCCGCCAACCCGCCAGCUUUGCGCCUUGCCCAGCGCUGACCGCUGAAAGCCAAGCCUCCCCAAGCGGCAGAGAGGGCAGAGGGGGUCUAACUGCUUCCGUCCUCUAUCCCCCAUCUCCCCCCAAAACCUCUCU